CUCACAGCUGGAUUCUGAACUUCUCCUGACAUACAAGUACAAACAUCUCUUGGAAGAAAUAAAUCCUUCCCAAAAGCAGAUCAUGGCAACUGUAUGGCUUGAAAUCAAAGAGAUGUCUUCAACAAAUCUGCGAGGAGAGCAAGAGGACAUGGAUAACUGGCAGCAUCCAGCACAGCAGGGGCAGUGGUGCUGGAGGUCUGAACCUCUCACACCAGCACGGUGCCUGAUGCAGAACCACCCUGCAUGUCUGACCACGAGCACCCGGCGUGCCCUGGGGAGUGUGUGUUGUGCAAGUCAGCAGCAGAAUAAACACACAGGUAGGUGUUUGCUUCCUGGUCUUCAAGGCAGCUGGGAAAAAGGGUGGUCUCUAUUUGAUCUUAUUUUCCUUUUAUGAAAUAGUGGAAGUGGUGACCCUUGAAUGUGGCUCUGCUCUCCCUGACUACAUAAAUCAGCUCCUGGGGCACAAGUGACUCUUCACAGUCACUGGCCUAGGACAGAAGAGCCCUCCAAAGGUACCCUUUCCUCUCUGCACCUCUGCCACUCUACCAAAAUUAGUUGGAUAAAAAGAUUCUCUGUCAUAAAUCCAUGCUGCAUUUAUUCACGCAGACAAACACCUAUGUUGCUUUUUAUUUCAUGGAUUAACGCUUGUUCAUCCACACAUAGAAUUUGUUUAAUCAGUAAUUACAUUAAAAUUGAAGGAAAUAACGUGAAAAUCUGUCGUCAGUGUCCCAUCAGUGUCUAUAACCGGGUGAGCCCAAGAAAAACUGCCACCAAAAUCUUCUUGGAACUAAUCUUCAGGAUGUUGGUCAGAAGGGUCAUGAAACCUUUUCCACUUCAGUUGUGACUAGAAGGCAUGGUAAAAAUGCUAAUUUUUUGCCAGCUAAUUUAAAAAAAAAAAAAGAAAAAAAUUAAAAAUAAUAGUGAAAANAGCCUUAUCUUUGUUUUCUAAGCAAGAAAAAAUUAUUUCUACCUAUGCAGGCUUAUCACAAAAUACCCAUCAAUAAUCAAGAGUAAGGGGAUUCAUCUUUAAAAUGCCCUGAUCUGAGUUCUUGGUAGACAAAUUGAUGUCAGAGUUAUUUUAACAAGGUAGUUAAUUAAUGAGGAAUCCUCAAGUUAGAAGAGAACAACACCAGAGCAUUAAUUUUCAUUAUAGUCCAAGCUCAUAAUUUAUUUCCUCUAUCACCUAGACACUGGUGGAAAGAAAUGCAACACCAAUGCAAGCAAUUUGCCAAAAAAUGUGCUUAAUAUAAUAUUUAUAUAAUCUUCUUACAUGCUGCCUGUUGUGAAGGGGAGCUGUGAUUAAAGAUACAUUAUUUUCUUAGUCAAAGGUUAUGGAAAAUCUCAGUUGUCUGGGAUCGAGAAGCAACACUUGACUACAGCUGCACACACAACAACUGAGCGGCAUAAAAAUAGCACAACAAGCACUCCAGCAAUGCACAUAACAAGAUUUUCCUCUUCCAAAGAGUCUGAGAAAGGCCAGGCAAGCUCUUAGAGUCUGACCACACUGGAGGUGAUAAUUCCCACUCACAAAGAUAAGGCUUCCCAAACAUCCUAAGUCCUCAGUCUUGGGGUACCUUAACAUGCUCCUAUGCUUCAGGACAAGGAUACACCUGAUUUUUUAAGAUCUUAUAGUCUAGACAAAAGAAACAGCUCAGAGAAAGGAAAAAAAAAAGUACAGCAUGAACAGUGACUACAAGGUGACUACAUGAAUAAUUGUAUUAACUUUUGUUUGCUGGUUCACCUAUUGGUUUCUGCCUUUUAUUCCUCUCCUGCACACUUACAGUUUGGGUAAAGAUUGGAAAUAGAUCUUUAAGAAAGAAUUGUGUUAUCUGGCUGAACUGAAUGCAGUGCAAUCCUGCAUGUGGCAGAUUUCCAAGGAAUUUAACAAAGCACCCAACAACUCAAAGCUCCCGAUGAAGCUGAGGAACAAAAAUCCAAUUGAUUUACUCAUCUUUAAAUUAUUGUCAUCCAGAGGUAAAAAAUAUUGGCUCUCACUAGAGCAGGAGGAAUGUGACCUGUGAAAAAAACACAGUCAGUGGGAUUGGUGUCCCCAGGCAGUCCAGGCCUGCCCCAGCCACGUUGCUCUGAUAAGCCCUUUUCCUUGCCAAGCAGCUGAAAGAAAAAUGUAUUUUUGAGGCCUUCUCUUCAGUUCCUUGCAACCACAAAGCCACAUGAAGGGAAAAAAUUUUCCAAGGCCUGUAAGUGCAGCAAUUUUUCCAAUUUAACUAUUUUUGAGGAAGGCACAGGACUAAGUGAAACAUUUUCCAAAUGGACGACCCUGCUUGCUCAGUUUAUCCAAGCACAAGCUAGGAUCAAACAUCCAAGGCAGAAACUGCGAGUAUUUACCUUGAACAGUCUUCUCUCCUGCUGAGUUCUCCUAAAUGCAAAUAAGUUAUCAGAUUUAUUUAUUUCCCUCAUGAAUCUGUUCCUAUUUCCACUUGCCAAAUUAACUACAUCUCUCCAAUUUGGACAAAAUCUCAACAACCUCAUUAGUGACUGGCUAGACAGAUCUUGAGCCAACCCCAAGAUUUCUAGCAAGUUUUGCUGUUAAUACUUGCAUUGGUU
ensembl:lncRNA